rnacentral:rRNA from 1 species
CCUACGGGAGGCAGCAGUGAGGAAUAUUGGUCAAUGGACGAGAGUCUGAACCAGCCAAGUAGCGUGAAGGAUGACUGCCCUAUGGGUUGUAAACUUCUUUUAUAUGGGAAUAAAAUGUUCCACGUGUGGGAUUUUGUAUGUACCAUAUGAAUAAGGAUCGGCUAACUCCGUGCCAGCAGCCGCGGUAAUACGGAGGAUCCGAGCGUUAUCCGGGUUUAUUGGGUUUAAAGGGAGCGUAGGUGGAUUGUUAAGUCAGUUGUGAAAGUUUGCGGCUCAACCGUAAAAUUGCAGUUGAAACUGGCAGUCUUGAGUACAGUAGAGGUGGGCGGAAUUCGUGGUGUAGCGGUGAAAUGCUUAGAUAUCACGAAGAACUCCGAUUGCGAAGGCAGUUCACUGGACUGCAACUGACACUGAGGCUCGAAAGUGUGGGUAUCAAACAGGAUUAGAUACCCGUGUAGUC